rnacentral:misc_RNA from 1 species
GCUAGACAGAAGAAAAAUACAGAUGGAUUUCCGAAUCACUUCUAAUCAAUAUGAUAAACGCUUUUCUCUUAUGCAAAUGAGUGCUACAGCCAAUAAAAUAAAAGCAUACACCAUUCCUACAAUCAGCAACAUCAAAACUAAAACCAAACCAAGGCUGCAUUUGGAUUGAGCUAGCCAAUGUAACAAAAGAACCCAAAUGAGCAAUAGUAAAUAUAUACCACUAGUAUUCCUUUGCAGACUACAAGGAUUGCAGAUCAAAAAGGCUUCCCAUACUCCUGUGUUGUCGGCUGCUCCCAAGCUGGUAUAAAGCUUAAUGGUAUUUCUGCUAGAGACAUGUAAAUUGAGUCAUCAUCGCCAAGAGUCCCCUCUCCAUUGUGAGGACUCAUCUCAUUAUGCAGUGGAUUAAUGUCCUCUAGCACUGAAGUACAGUUUGAAUAAACGGUAAGGAGCUGUGAAAUCGUAAGACCAUCAUAGCUAUCCGGAACCUCAGUUAUAUCUCCAGCAUUCUGUGCAUUAUUGGGAAAACCUUCUGCGCCAGUAAAUGUUGUUUCCUUUCUAUGUGAAUUGUCAAAAGCCUUAUCUUCUAAGGUGGAAUCAUUCUCCAAAUCAAUGACUUCA